UCUAAUUCUAUCCACCAAACAAUUGUAUGUGAAUGUGUGAGACUUAUGGUCAUGGUUAUAGGGAAAUAACAAGAAGAACAAAGUGCAGUAAAUGGUAAAACUGUUUGCACUACAAACCAGUACGUUCAUAAUUAAGACAAUACAUUAAAAAUAACAUGGUAAUACAGCAGUUUGCAACAGUAAACAGCAAAACAAGCUGUUUGUACAGCUAAUAUAGCUGGAAUGACACGGAAAGCCAGACACAUUACAUUUACAAAUGGCCGCGCCCCCUCUUACAGAAAAAAAAUAACGGGCAUAUGUUUAUUCAUAUGUUUAUUUAUGUAACGUAAGCGUGUGACUUUUAAUUCGUGACGUGCUUUCAUGGGCGUGCGCGCGGACCGGAUGGAGUUGCCAUGGAAACGGAGCGCAACACUGCAAAUGUCACGAGGAAACACCCCGUUUCUCGCUGAUUUCACUGUUUUCAGGAAUGGUUUAAUGUCUUCGAAAAAGUCCGUUAGCAUUUCUACCGUUUUCAGACGACGUAUCGUCAGAAGGGAGUGUCCAAGAUUUCAAUAUUUCUGAAGGGAGCUGCUGACAGAGAUGUAGGAAGCGCUGAAAAGAUUCUUCAGUGCUGAUGGCCUGCUGCAUUGAGCAGAGUCGGAGUGAACCUACUGUAAGACAACAUCUCCAAGAUGCUAUUGACCACAAGACUAGUACAGUAAGUCAAACCUCAAAUAUACAGUAUGCUUGAAGUUGAUACAAUUUGUAAUAAUUAUCUUCUGCUCACCUCUGUAGUAAUUAUUUGAUUAAAAUAUGUAAAAAGAGUAAAAUUGUGAAAUAUUAUUACAAUUUAAAAUAGCUGUUUUCUAUGUGAAUACAUUAUAAACUAAUUUAUUCCUGUGAUGUG